rnacentral:rRNA from 1 species
CUUAAACUUCCGUGCUUGGUGGAAAAGAAGCGAUUAAAGGUACGCUCGCUUGCUGUCUUGUUCUCUGCCGCGGACUGGGAUCGCUCGCCAGCUAGGCCCUCUAGAAAAAAGUUGGAGAAACAUUGUAUGAGAACAUAUUACCCAUCUUCGGGGACAAGGGGCAGAACGACCUCUCGAUCUACUUACAUUUCAUUCUUUCUGGAAUGCAAAGGAUUAAAGUACCCGAGCCCCCAUCAUGGUGAACCUCUCCUUGUGAUCGGGAUGAGGUAG